rnacentral:rRNA from 1 species
UGGGGAAUAUUGCACAAUGGGCGCAAGCCUGAUGCAGCGACGCCGCGUGGGGGAUGAAGGCCUUCGGGUUGUAAACUCCUUUCGCUAGGGACGAAGCUUUUUGUGACGGUACCUAGAUAAGAAGCACCGGCUAACUACGUGCCAGCAGCCGCGGUAAUACGUAGGGUGCGAGCGUUGUCCGGAAUUACUGGGCGUAAAGGGCUCGUAGGUGGUUUGUCGCGUCGUCCGUGAAAUUCUGGGGCUUAACUCCGGGCGUGCAGGCGAUACGGGCAUAACUUGAGUGCUGUAGGGGUAACUGGAAUUCCUGGUGUAGCGGUGAAAUGCGCAGAUAUCAGGAGGAACACCGAUGGCGAAGGCAGGUUACUGGGCAGUUACUGACGCUGAGGAGCGAAAGCAUGGGUAGCGAACAGGAUUAGAUACCCUGGUAGUCCAUGCCGUAAACGGUGGGCGCUAGGUGUGAGGGUCUUUCUACGACUUUCGUGCCGUAGCUAACGCAUUAAGCGCCCCGCCUGGGGAGUACGGCCGCAAGGCUA